UUGAUUCCAAAUCCAUGUGUGAUAAAAUUGGAACGAUACUAAGAAGACUAGCAUGACCCCUGCACAAGGAUGACAUGCAUAAAUUGAGAAAUGGUCCAAAUUUUU